GAGGAUGCGAGCGUUAUCCGGAUUUAUUGGGUUUAAAGGGUGCGUAGGCGGCGAUGAAAGUCAGCGGUAAAAUCGCGGGGCCCAACCCCGUCGAGCCGUUGAAACUGCGUUGCUUGAGUUGGCGAGAAGUACGCGGAAUGCGCGGUGUAGCGGUGAAAUGCAUAGAUAUCGCGCAGAACUCCGAUUGCGAAGGCAGCGUACCGGCGCCAUACUGACGCUGAGGCACGAAAGCGUGGGGAUCGAAC
rnacentral:rRNA from 1 species